rnacentral:lncRNA from 14 species
GCACCACUGCCCCCUGACUUUGACGAGCAGGAGUCAGAAGCAGAGGAACAGAAAAAGGCAUUUGCCAUGCUCAGCUCCUCUGCCGCUGAGCUGGUGCACCAUAAAGCAGCCAGGCGCGUAGCGAGGAACGUCCCACGCAAGGCUAUGGCUGUCAUCCAGGAAACGGAUGAGCAGCCCCAGGAACAGGGGGACACCGACAAAAGCCGUGUGGAUGUGACAGUGCCAGCAAGGAGGCCUGCAGCAGUUCAGGGCACUGAGUCUCCCGUGCCUACACAGCUUCAGGUAAAGGCCAGCAAAGACAUCUCCUAACAGUGGCAUGUGAGGGUGAAAAAGACGUGGCAUCUCCCAUGGCUGGAGACCAACAGGAAGAGGCCAGCAAAGCCACUGUCUCCCCCGCAGCAGGCGAGAGGAAAGGCACAGCUUCGCUGACAGAGAUGCCUGGGGAGCAAGUGAGUGCCAAGAACAGGAUGGCACAGCACAGGGGGAUGAGCCUCCCUCGGCUUGGGGACCGCUGCUGUGCUGCUGAGCUGCAGCACGCUCAUCCCCUACAUCACACUAGUGUGAUUACAGGAGGAAGUGGGGAGUGAGAAGGAGGAGGUAAAGGGGAAGGAACAGGAGAAAGAGCAGGAAUGGGAAAAGGACAUGGACCAAGAGGUGUCCCAGCUGAAUGAUCCAAAGCUGGUCACCAACUGCACCAUCAGGAUCAAAGCCUUGGUCCGGGAACAGGACCUUUCGACCAUACAGGACAUUAAUGUCAACCCUUUUGUGCCACAGCUCUUGCAGGUCACCCCCACGCGUUCUCAGGAGGGGUCCCAUGGCUUUGAUGAGCAGGAGCCAGGCACCUCCGCCCCCCCGGACAAAGGAGCAUCCCAACAGCCACGACCAUCUCGCUUCAGAAGGGCGCUGAAGACUCUGCGCAGGGCUUUCCGCUGCUCCUGCAUCAGAGCGCGAGUGGACGAGUAGUGCUCCACUGCCAGCUCCAGGCCCGAGGGAGCUGCGCUGAGGACAUGGAGCUGCUGCCUGCGCUCGCUCGCCGCGCACACUUGCUCGGGCCAAGAAAUCAGAUCCCUUUCCCCCCAGCUCUCGCCUCUGCCUGCUCCUUUUCCCUCCAAUUUGACUCCACUUAAAUCAAUAAAGAUUCUUUAGGCAAAGGCUCUUCCCA